rnacentral:rRNA from 1 species
GGCGAACGCUGGCGGCGUGCUUAACACAUGCAAGUCGAACGGAAAGGCCUGCUUUCCCUUGUGGAUUGCGGGUACUCGAGUGGCGAACGGGUGAGUAACACGUGAGUGAUCUGCCCCCAACUUGGGUAUAAGCCUGGGAAACUGGGUCUAAUUCCCGAUAGGACUGCAGGGUGGUGCCUGUGGUGGAAAACGAUUUUCUAGUGGUUGGGGAUGAGCUCGCGGCCUAUCAGCUUGUUGGUGGGGUAAUGGCCUACCAAGGCGGCGACGGGUAGCCGGCCUGAGAGGGUGGACGGCCACAUUGGGAUUGAGAUACGGCCCAGACUCCUACGGGAGGCAGCAGUGGGGAAUAUUGCACAAUGGGCGGAAGCCUGAUGCAGCGACGCCGCGUGGGGGAUGACGGCCUUCGGGUUGUAAACUCCUUUCGACCGCGGGGAAGCCACCUGGUUGGAAGGGUGGUGACGGUAGUGGAAGAAGAAGCACCGGCUAACUACGUG